ACCAAGACCCAAUUCUGGGUAACACAUCUCAACACAUGCGCACAUUGGAACGGGGCGACAGGCUCCGCAGCCUUGGCCAUUUGCUAAAUGUACCUUUUGCCAUUCCUCUGUAUCGGUCGAGGAACUUGACACUAUUCGGGCUGGCGGGGACGCGCUCUCGCGUUGUCCUCUCUGCGCGCUCCCGUGCCACCUUCAGUUCCAGUUGCUGUAGUUUCCUCCGCAAUGUCCUGGUUUCUUUCUGGCUUUGAGUUACUUCCAAACGAAACACUGCAUAGUCGUCGUCUACGAGUUUACAGAUUUCUGCAACGGCUGCAUUCGCUAGCACCUCCAUGAUGGAGGCUAUUUGAGUGUGAAAAACCAUAACGUUGCAGUUCGCCAUUGUUAGCUAAUGUUAACCAGAUAACGUCUAUCAACCAAAUUCUGUCUCCAACGCGAAUUAAACACUACCUAGGGUGAACUCCAAUCAAGUUGUACCAAUGGAAACAGGAUGCACCUGAGCUCAAAUUUCAAAACAAAAGGUCUAAAUACUUAUUUACAUAAGUUCACCUCAUCAUGCAGUUCCCUACUACAUCCAAAACCAACAGAAUUAACUACAAACUAGCACUACAUGGAAGGAUGUGGACUGUAGUGUGAGGGGAUGACAGAGGCUCGCCUCAUAGGAGACUGUUGCCGAUUACUGCCCAGGUGUGGUGGUCUCUCAAGCACUUAUUGCUGCCGAUGCAUCACCCAGGUGGUGGAUGUUCCAGCCUACCUACAGAGGAGGAGGUGGUGUGUACUGCAGAGACAGAUGUGCCUGAUAAAGCUCCGGGCCUGUCUGACUGAUGUCUCCCUGUACCAUCAACGCCGAUUCCAGUCAAGCUACUCCUUUACUGAACUGCAUUGUCAUCUAGCUGUGACCCUCUUCCAUGAACUGCCAGCUCCCUGAAUUUGUUUUAGUUUGUUUUUUAAAAGUGGUAGGUUCUGUAUGAGAAGUGCUAUAUGAAAUAUCAAUGGGCUGUGUGCAUUUUCUGCUGGUAUAUCCUGAGGUAGCUCCUGCUCAGCUGGUUUCUCUGUGGGUUCAGGAAGAGGUGUAGUCUGGUUGUCCCCCAUGACCAUGGUCCCCUCAGGGUUCCCCUGACCCUCCACACACCCCUCCUCCUGGAAGAGAGCGGUGAUACAGAUUACACAGACAUACACUCACUCAGAUAAACACACUUUCAACAUGGCGUGUUUACCCACCCCCACUAUGUUAGUCCUAUUUAUCUAGUCCUAUACUGUAGUUACAGAAUGACAUUAUGGUGGACAUAUGAGUCAGCUAUGAUAAGUGAAAAUUCCUCAGACAAACGCGACUGAACUAUUUUGAUGUGUGUGUAGAUAUUUCAGUAAGUAUGGUAAAGCGCUGAUGUGUAUGCAGAAUAAGGUGAGAUCAGAUGGGACACAUAUUAAAGGGAGUCUCAUAUAAAGUCUUAAUGAAAA